GGUAUUAAAGCGUAUUAUAAUUUCUUUUCUCUAAUCGAACAAAGAAAAUAGAACACUAGAGGUUCUUUUCAUGUGUAUCUUUUAGCUAAGGUUUUCAUCAUAUGUUGUUUUAUUAUUGAGAUGUUUUAUAACAACAGUAGUCAACACUGCUAGAAUUAUACAAGAGAACAACUCGUUUAUACAAACUUACACCAAGCCGGCUAUCAAAUAUGUAAAGACACAUAUUUCAUAUAAGGAUGACAAAGCCCAAAAACACCAGAGCGAGCUAAUUAAGAAAGCUAUUUUCUCUCCAAACCUUUGGUUCUAUAUCACUCAUGUCCAGUUGUCUUAGUAGAUUCUGUAAACAAUGAUUCUGCUUAAAAGCAAAUAAAUUCUAGUUGGCAAAAGAAAAAUUUCUAGCUUAGAAAUUAAUUAACAAUCAUUCUUCUAAUUUCUUUAGAGUUGGGGAAUAUAUUAGCGUUAAGGCCCAAACGCUUACAACGUUAAGGCCCAAACAUCUAGCUAGGGUUUUCAAGGGUAUGGUAUAUAUUCACAGUGACGCUUCAUUUCUUUUCUUGUUACCGUCACCGUGAAUCCGCGUUUUGAGAAAAAAGAGUCUCCACCAUGAGAGCCAAGUGGAAGAAGAAGCGUAUGAGGAGGUUGAAGAGGAAGAGACGAAAGAUGAGACAGCGAUCUAAGUAGACAUAGAGAGAUUCCAAGUCUUUUCAAUCUGCUUCCUUGUUUCUGUUACUUUCCCUAAGUACUUUUGUUUGAUCUUGUUUCAGUUUUAUGUUUUCUUGGCUUCGUUCUUGUCGGAUUUGUAUGGAUCCUCCACUAAUGUUAAAGCUUUAUCUACCUAAUCACAUUUUCACCAGUUUA